GCAGGUGCAAUUGAGACUUCAUCUGAUUCCAGGGGAAAUUCUUGUGGGCACCUGAGGAAUGAAUGCUUCCAUUCUCAAGGAAAAAAAACUGAGGAAUGACCACACAUGGUAUCCUGACAGGUGUGAAGUGAUACCUCAUUUAGAUUUUGACUUGCAUUUCCCUGAUGAUUACUGUUAAGCAGUUUUUCACAUACAGUUGACCCUCAAGCAACAUGGAUUUGAACUGUGCAGGUCCACUAAUAUGGGUAUUUUCUUCUGCCUGUGACACCGCUGAGACCACAAGGCUACCCCUCCUGUUCCUCCUCAUUCUCAGCCUAGUCAAGGUGAAGAUAACAAGGAUGAAGACCUUUAUGAUGAUCCACUCUGCUUAAUGAAUAGCCUGAAACGAAGCAAAAGGCAUUUUCACAAGGUGUUCACAUGCAGAAGGCACGUGGUUUUCGGCAUCAGCUGGUGUGUGCACAUUCAUCAAGAGUCACACUUCCAACAGCACCUGCUAUGCUCAGAUUUCUACAACAGCAAUUAACGGCAGAAAUGGUAGAAUGGUACGCAGAGGCUAUUUCUCCCUGAUGACCUGACACAGACCCAGCCAACACCAUCUAUAAUGAAAAUCAAUGGCACCAAGUCACUAAACAAUUAUUCCGUCUUCUUUAAAAAUGCACAAGUCUUCAAAAAACAAGGAUUCAGAGACUGAUUAAUUUGCCAUUUGUCUAGAAGAUUGCACUAGCUGCAUUAUUUAAGAAGUGCCUUGUCUCUGUGCCCUCAAAAGCUGAACCAAGAUCAAAGA
rnacentral:lncRNA from 10 species